UAAUCUAGCUUUUGUGUGUCAGAAAAGCUUACCAAAAUUUUCUGACCCCACCCUCACCUUUCUCUAUAUAUGUAUAUAAACUUUCCACCGCUAAAAUACAAAAUAGUACAACACAACUUGCGAUCAUCUAUCCUUUUUAAGCUUAACAAAAGCAGCCACCCUCCUUUGUUCCUCUUAUUCUUCUUAAAUCUUGAAACCAUCUCUGUCUAAAUAUUUUGUUUGUUUGGAUUAGGUAUCUUAUUGAACAAAAUCUGAGAACCCUUUAUUCUUUGCUUCUAUUAGAAGAAGAAGCUGACUUUCGCUGCUUUGAUAACUUCAAGAAAAAGAGAGAAAUUUGGAAAUGGAUGUGGACUUUUGGGCUGCAAGAAUAAAUUCAGCUAGGCAUCUCUCUGCUGUACAAACAAACAGGCUCAGCAAUUAUGCAGAUACUCUCUCAAAUGUGGAUAAUACUGAAGGAGAAGAGGAUGUAAGAGCCUGGUUCCCCUGCCCUUUCUGUUAUGUAGAAAUUGAAGUGCAGGUGCUUUGCAGCCAUUUGCAAGAAGAGCAUUGCUUUGAUUUCAAAAACGCGGUUUGUCCCAUAUGUGCUGCAACUUUAGGUAAAGAUCCUCUGGGGCAUUUUACAAUGCAGCAUGCACAAUCAGUAAAGAGGAGGAGAAAAUACCCGAAGUCAGGCUUUUGGAAUAAUGCUACUGCAAUAAGUGGCAAGGAUCCUCAUGAAAUAAAUUCGCUCUUCUGCACAAAUUUAAUGGUUGGUCGCUACAACGUACAAGAACCUGCUCCUGAUCCCCUUUUGCUGCCAUUUCUCUGUCGCAUGACUCCUGAUCCUAAAGAUGGUAUACAAGAUAAGUCUCCUGGUAGUGUUGCUGCUGCUCCUGAUGUAGAAAGGUCACCGGUGUUCUGUCCCUCUUACUCAACCCAAAGCAAGUCAACUUCUUGAGAAACCAAUGCAUACUAGCUAUUCAAAGUAGAUUCAGCUUCUUUCUGGGGUUUACCAUCUAUAGUGCACCCAUCAUGUUGAAGUUUGGACUUAUCAUCUUUGGCAUACAAGAAGACAACCAGAGCACGGGAGUACUAGUAGCAAAGAAUCCUUAAGUGAGUAAAAGAUGAACGACUAUGGUGAUGAAAAGGCAGUGAUGGACACAUUAAACAUGAAACGAAGCAGCAAGCUGCCAAUAUGUGAUCCAGCUCUGGAAGAACAGUAUGAAGAGAAAAGGCAAAGAGCUGCAUUUAUUCAAGAGCUUAUUGCUUCAACUAUCUUCUAAGACAUGCAUAACCAGACAGAGGAUUCCACCCAACGAAGAAAACAGUUUUAGACCAUAUGUGUAUGAGAAUAAUGCUUCAGAGAAACUUAUAGGUGCUAUUAGUAUCGGAUUACUAGCUAAAAUCUCAAAUUAUCUAUAACUUCAUUCAUGGCUAGAAACUAUUUACAUGAACACAAAUGCACUGGAUAGUAUUUGUAUCCAGACAAUGAUAGUGAAAUAUUGGGAGUUUUCAAGUGUGUUCAUACAUUGGUUAAGUUCAGAUAGUAGGGAUUACGGAGUUAUUUAUUUUCCUUCCCUUUUGUUCUAUAAAUUAUUCAUUGACUGCUUAGCAGAAGUUGGCUAAGGAUUUAACAUAUACGAAUUGAAUAUAACAUUUAUAUGCGAGGUAAUUAACUCCUA